rnacentral:misc_RNA from 1 species
ACCGAUGAUGGCGACUACAAUAUCAAGCUGCGUAACCUGAUCAAGUUCCUCGACGAAGGUGACAAAACCAAGAUCACGCUGCGCUUCCGCGGCCGUGAAAUGGCCCACCAGGAUAUCGGCUUCCGCAUGCUGGAACGCCUGAAAGCCGAUCUGGAGCCGUACGGCCAGGUUGAGCAGUUCCCGAAGAUGGAAGGCCGUCAGAUGAUCAUGAUUCUGUCGCCGAAGAAGAAGAAAUAAGCUGUAAGGCUUAAUCAAAAUACAAGGGCGGGUGAGCAAUCACCCGCCUUUGUUGUUUCAGCCACCACAUCGUCCUCGCGAAGGCGGGGA